rnacentral:tRNA from 1 species
UAUACUUUAGUAUAAUAUGUAUAAAAGUUUUUGAUACUUUAGGAAAUGGGUUACUCCGUUAGGUAUAG